rnacentral:lncRNA from 1 species
UCCUCGGGCAGGGUGUGACACAGGUUUCUUCUUGUCUUGAGGAUGAGUGAAGAAGCCCACAGCCACAUGGGUAUUUUCGCAGCUUCCCAUGGGGGAAAGGCUGACCCUGGAUAGAAUGGCAGGAGAAUUUAAUUUUAGGAUUUGGGAAGAAGGAAUUAUUGUUAAGUAUCUCAGAAGAAUCAAGAUUUGGGAGCAGGAAGUGAAGACUUAUCCAAAUUAAAGAUUGUGCUAAUUUAUUACAACCAUGUAUACUGAAAACAAGCAUGUUGGGGAAGAUUAACGAGCAAGAAUUGAAAUCAUUCACGAAGAGAAGCUUUGGACUAAAACCCAUCUGCCAGAUAAGCCAAUAAAUGUCCCUCUCAUCAAGUGAUUGGGACUGGGAUGGAGCUGGAAUUUGGCCCUAAUGUUGCAUGUGUAAAAGCCUUGAAAGAAAUCAGAAGAGAUUCUGAGGAGGUAGCUAAGGAAUCCCAGAUCACCUAAGAGUUUGGAAAGAAGAAAGAGGGCAUGGCACACCCAGGGGAAUGACGCCUCUGCACCCCAGCCUGGCCUCACAAGCACUGUAGUGGUUAUAUACGAGGCUCUGGGGGCUUUCUGCUGGAAUCCUCCUCCUGCUCUGCCAUGACCAGUUGUGAUUCUGGGCAAUUUACUUAGUCUCUGUCAGCCUUCCCCAUCCACUGGAGGAGAGAUAGUUUUAACUCAUGUCACUGUGAUAACUGCA